GCCUGGCUGGCACAGUUGAUAGAGCAUGUCACUCUUGAUGUCAGGGUUGUGAGUUCAAACCCCACACUGGGUG
rnacentral:tRNA from 1 species